rnacentral:rRNA from 1 species
UGGCGUGCCUUUUGUAGAAUGAACCGGCGAGUUACGAUCUGAUGCAAGGUUAAGCAGCAAAUGUGGAGCCGCAGCGAAAGCGAGUCUGAAUAGGGCGUUGAGUAUUUGGUCGUAGACCCGAAACCAGGUGAUCUACCCUUGGUCAGGUUGAAGUUCAGGUAACACUGAAUGGAGGACCGAACCGACUUACGUUGAAAAGUGAGCGGAUGAACUGAGGGUAGCGGAGAAAUUCCAAUCGAACUUGGAGAUAGCUGGUUCUCUCCGAAAUAGCUUUAGGGCUAGCCUCAAGUGAUGAUUAUUGGAGGUAGAGCACUGUUUGGACGAGGGGCCCCUCUCGGGUUACCGAAUUCAGACAAACUCCGAAUGCCAAUUAAUUUAACUUGGGAGUCAGAACAUGGGUGAUAAGGUCCGUGUUCGAAAGGGAAACAGCCCAGACCACCAGCUAAGGUCCCAAAAUAUAUGUUAAGUGGAAAAGGAUGUGGCGUUGCCCAGACAACUAGGAUGUUGGCUUAGAAGCAGCCAUCAUUUAAAGAGUGCGUAAUAGCUCACUAGUCGAGUGACACUGCGCCGAAAAUGUACCGGGGCUAAACAUAUUACCGAAGCUGUGGAUUGUCCUUUGGACAAUGGUAGGAGAGCGUUCUAAGGGCGUCGAAGCAUGAUCGCAAGGACAUGUGGAGCGCUUAGAAGUGAGAAUGCCGGUGUGAGUAGCGAAAGACGGGUGAGAAUCCCGUCCACCGAUUGACU